GGGGGUGGCCUGUGCAUUUAGCAGAGAGGGGUUAAAAGUUCUUCCCUCCAGUGAUGCCAGUUUGCCAAACACUCCUCCCCACCAUCGCUGAAGAAUCAGGACUGCUGACUGCCUGACUAGAAGAACUUCAAGCAAGGCCACUGGAGUGGCAACCAAAGGUGUCUCCAGAAGCUGCCACCUGUCACCCCAGUUGGGAACCACUACUCAAGCUACUCAGGCAUGGUUGCCUUUUGGGAAAUUGCAGUGAGCCUGCUAGUUCACAUGGAUGCAGCAGUGGAGACAAGGGGCCCAGGAGGUAGGAAGAUUGGAAAUUCACAGAAAUUAUGGAGAAGGAACGUGUGGAAAUGGUGUGUCCUGAAGUAUGUGCCCCGCCGGUGAUUAUGAGCUCUUGUUCAGCAGCAGGUGCAGAAGUCCUGGGCCAGGAGGUGAUAGAUGCUGUGUUUGGGCACAUCACUCACCUGUUGGACCACCUCAGUGUCCCUGUAGUUGAGACAGAGUGACAUGGCACCUGAGCUUGGUUUAAGAUGACAGGUAGAAGCACCUGGAAAAGAAAGGGCUCCCAGAACCGCUGGAUUUAGUGAUGGAGGAACUUGGAGGGGUCUGCUUCCAUCCUCUUGGAUUCAUGGAUUUUUCACUCAUGGAUAACUAAGGGAUGGAGAAUUCAGAUUUCCAGAAGAAGCACAUUCAUUUAAGGCAACUUGAAUUCAGAGGAAAUAAUUGAAAUUGUCUGCAAUUUACGUUUUCAUCAUCUUUACCUUGUGAUUCUAAUUCUGCCAACUGGAUUCACACAGAAGAAGCUGAUGUCCUGCAUCUGAUGCCCUUUCAGUACUGGAGCAGCUGUCCUGGUAUUUGUUCUCCCAGGAAAGAGUCAAAUGUGGCCCACCUUCUUCAGUAGAAGAAUCCGUAUAUUUCUAGUUGAAU
rnacentral:lncRNA from 1 species